rnacentral:other from 1 species
AUGUCCCUGCUGUGUGCGUGAUAGUGAGUAAGAAUAUUUCAACUAACAACUUUUAUAAGGAAUUCCUGACUCGUGUCUGUGGCUGUAAACCAUGACGGGCUUUGCCUGUAACAAGGGAACGUAAAGCAGACAGGCGGAAAUCCACCUGUAUUUACAGGUUAGAAAUAACGCUCAUACACGGCACGGUGGGGUUAUA